ACGGGGCCCGCACAAGCAGCGGAGCGUGUGGUUUAAUUCGAUGCUACACGAAGAACCUUACCAGGGUUUGACAUGCAAGUGGUAGGAACCGAAAGGCGACCGACCUUCGGGGAGCUUGCACAGGUGCUGCAUGGCUGUCGUCAGCUCGUGUCGUGAGAUGUUCGGUUAAGUCCGCUAACGAGCGCAACCCUCGCUGUGUGUUACAAGUGUCACACGGGUACUGCCGGUCUUAAGCCGGAGGAAGGUGGGAUGACGUCAAGUCAGCAUGGCCUUUAUGUCCUGGGCUACACACACGCUACAAUGGCCAACACAAUAGGUUGCUAAGCCGCGAGGUGGAGCCAAUCCUCAAAGUUGGUCUCAGUUCAGAUUGCAGGCUGCAACCCGCCUGCAUGAAGAUGGAGUUGCUAGUAACCGCAGGUCAGCUAUACUGCGGUGAAUACGUUCCCGGGGCUU
rnacentral:rRNA from 1 species